rnacentral:lncRNA from 1 species
CUUAGGAAGAGGUCUGGUCUCAAAUAGGUCUGAGCCAUAGCUAGGCUCUUAAAGCUUGAACACGUCGGAGCACGGUCAAAGAGGCCAUAGAACCACAAAACUAUGGAGGAUCUGCUUGAACACCAUCGAGGUCGGACCUCGGUAUCUCGAACAACCAAGGCUUGAGGGGAGGGAAGGUGAGCACAUGUUAUCCAUGGCUUGAGAAGCCAUGGACUCCGGUGAGAUUAGUAGGAGAGCACGAGGGAGGCGAUUAAGGUUUCGAGUGUUUGAGAGAAUUUUAGAGAGAAGGGGAGUUUGGGG